UUUUACGGAGAGUUUGAUCCUGGCUCAGGAUGAACGCUGGCGGCGUGCUUAACACAUGCAAGUCGAACGGUGAACACGGAGCUUGCUCUGUGGGAUCAGUGGCGAACGGGUGAGUAACACGUGAGCAACCUGCCCCUGACUCUGGGAUAAGCGCUGGAAACGGCGUCUAAUACUGGAUAUGUGACGUGACCGCAUGGUCUGCGUCUGGAAAGAAUUUCGGUUGGGGAUGGGCUCGCGGCCUAUCAGCUUGUUGGUGAGGUAAUGGCUCACCAAGGCGUCGACGGGUAGCCGGCCUGAGAGGGUGACCGGCCACACUGGGACUGAGACACGGCCCAGACUCCUACGGGAGGCAGCAGUGGGGAAU
rnacentral:rRNA from 1 species